rnacentral:lncRNA from 10 species
AGCACUCCAUGGAACUUUUCCAUCUGCAGCAGUCGGAGGAUUUGCCUGAGAACAUACGCGGCAUGAAGACACUCUCAGCCCUCAAGGGCACCCAGUCAGCGCUGUUUAAGGACGGUUUUUCUGUUCACAGCAUACUUCAUGAUUACAGCUUCACUCCAUUGGAUACAACUAUUUACUGAGCAUCUCCUGACACCAGAGAGGACGCAACAAAAAUCACAACUCCUAGAACUGCACAGUCUAAAUGGCAACCACUAGCCCCUGUGACAACUGAUCACUUGAAAAAGGCUUCAUUCAAAUCAAAUUGGAAGAGAAGUCCAGAUUACCCAACUACAAUUACCUGAGCAAAAAUCCCCUCAAUUAUCUUGGUAAUCCAGAUAAAUUCGGAGUACAAAGAUUCUUUAGACGACAGCCAUCAAGCAGCAAAUACCUCGCAGGAGGCCAUUGUGUUUCUAUUUGAACUUCUAUGGAUGUCAAGCUCUGUUCUUCAAAAUUUAGCCCUACAGAUGGGUGGCCCACCGGAGAGAAUUAAUCUCACUAUGCAGCCAACACUACCCUUUCUGGAUCUUUCCCCAGUAGUGUGGAUUCUGCUCUAGUCCAGAAUUAUGCAGAAUAAGUAUACUUCAUCUUAGACACCAUAAUUCUUCAAAUAUCUAAAAUGUAUAUUAUGCUCUCCAAAUCCUGGUCAUCUCCAGGUUAAGUAUCUCUCAAAAAC